CGGCCCGUCCCCGGAGCCAGUCAGCUAGGUCUCCGUCGGAUCAUUCUUCGGUACCGGUCAAUCACGUCCCCGUUCCGGUGUCUCCCUACAGAGCCCUUGCGAGGCCCUUAACAUAGGACACAACUUUCGCGGUCUCAAGCCGGAUUUCCUCCGAACUUGUUCGUACAUACCCGGCGGCAUUGCUUGGACAGUGCUUUGACAACGUACUCCCAGACUGUUGACUUCCUGACCCUUCCUGACCCGUCUUCAGCUUAGAGAGGCGAACAUCCGGUCAACACCGAUCAACUAGCCGAACCUUUCUUCAGUGACCGAACUCAACUCCACGCCCCGGCCAGAAAUGUUCCAGUCAACAUGACGACGACCUUGGACUGUUUCAAAAGAAACAUGGACUGGUUCGACUGACAUGGACUUGCAAAAUGGAGACAAAUGGCCGGAUGCUGAGGAUUCGAGUAACUAAUCGCCUAUGAGAUUAUGUAUGAAUUUCUCCUCAGGUGAGUAUGCCCGUUGUGCUGCUCUGGUUUAAGUCGACUUAGUUAUGUUUAGUUAAGUUAAGUGAAAGGUUAUGUUGAACGGGAAGACAACGACCUUAGUGAUCGGACAGGAAAUUUGAUGGGAUUUAUCCGUGGAUUCUUGUGUCUAGCUCCCAGUCAUUUGCUCUGCAUACGUCCCCAGACUUGCGUCCUUGUCUAAAACUUCUGUGAUGCCCACUCAACAGUCCUGUCAUUUAUGUUGUUAUGGUUUAUAACAUUGCGUGCGUGUGUGUGUGUGUGUGUGUUCUCCCUCGAUCCAUUUACAGGCCGACCAUACUUAACAAGAGCAAUGAUGACGAUGUCCACUUGGACUCCACAACACCGCCACGCCACACACUGUGACUCAUCUUUCUUUAUUUGUGAUAUCUCAACAUCAGCUCCUACAACAUAUCUUUAAUAGCUGUGACGAGCACCCAAAUAAACGUACAACGACGAUGACAAAGUUAUGGGUGACUUUGGAAUAAACCAUUAGUGUCAGUAUCAGUAUAUUCGUAUAGUAUAUGAAACGGGCGAUGUCAUUUUUGUGUUCUCUCUCGAUCCCAACAGA